rnacentral:rRNA from 1 species
AUUGAACGCUGGCGGCAUGCCUAACACAUGCAAGUCGAACGCGUGGCGGACGUGUGAGUAAUGUCUGGGAAACAGCCUUAAGGAGGGGGUAAACUACGGGAAACGGUGGCUAAUACCGCAUACCAGCGGAUUUGCGAAGGUGGGAUUAUCCAGUAGGUGGGGGAAAGGCUCACCUAGGCGACGAUCCAUAGCCGGUCUGAGAGGGUGACCAGCCACACUGGAACUGAGACACGGUCCAGACUCCUACGGGAGGCAGCAGUAGGGAAUCUUGCGCAAUGGGCGCAAGCCUGACGCAGCAACGCCGCGUGUAUGAAGAAGGUCUUCGGGUUGUAAAGUACUUUCAUCGGGGAGGCGUUACCCGCAGAAGAAGCCCCGGCUAACUCCGUGCCAGCAGCCGCGGUAAUUC